UGCAAGAUGAUGAGAUUUGUAUUACUGAAUUUGAUGUGGAAUUCCAUACCAAACUGGUCUUCAAAGUUCUCUGAUUGCU
rnacentral:snoRNA from 3 species